rnacentral:lncRNA from 1 species
AGUCCUCCCUGAUUAAACAAUCAGGGCUCCUGCCCUCUGCAAUCAAUCCGCCGUCAAAUCUUCUUAAUCCAAUCAAAUCGAUUUCAGAACAAGAAUGGAUAACAGUGAGAGGUCCCCAUCCACCUAGGUCUCUGGCGAGAAGCUGGAAGAGGUAGCCAGCUGGGUCAGCGUCACCGUGGUCUCCGCCUUUUUCUCAUCUCUCGAGUGCUUCUCCUGCGUUAACCUAACCACCAUUGACCCUGACGAUGAUGGUAAUCCCGACAAGGCCAAGGACCGUCCGCACACCUACUCCUAAAAAUCGUCUCCCACUCGCUUAAAACUCGGUACUUGCCCCGACACCUUAUUUUCUUUUUCUCUUGGUUUAAGGGUUUUGUAUAUAAAAAUUAAAAUGUUAUAAAUUUGUUGAUACUUGUGAUUGAAUAUGGAAUUGUUAUGUAAUAAAGGCUGAUUGUGUCUUUUUCUUUUUUUGGUUUAAGGGUUUUGUGUAUAAAAAAGUAAAAUUUUCUAAAUUUGUCGAUACUUCUGAUUAAAUAUGGAAUUGUUGUGUAAUAAAGGUUGAUUGUGUCUUUUUUCCUUUUUGGAUAUUCAAUGAUAUAAAGUUGAUGGUUUUCAAAACCCUAAAUCAAAAACAAUGAAGCUUGAUUUUCUUCCUGAGUUUGAUUUUUAGGUUUCGUAAUGACUUUCAUAGUUUUAUCAGUUAAGGGUAUUACUGAUUUUGAUUUUUAAUAUAAAUUUUUGGAUUAGUGAAUUUAAAAUUGUUGAACCUAUGCAAUGAAUGAAUGCUAUGACUUGUGAGGGAUGAGGAUUUAUUUUUUCAGUGCUUCGAAAUCAUUCAGAAAGUUUACAUGCGUUUGUUAUAACUGAAGUUUACUUUUUCUUUUUAGGCUGUUUCUGGUUUUACAUUCAUAGUAACUGCCUGUGUCGAAAAUUCUUUGCUUGGCUUUGCCAGAAAUGUAUAGUGGUACAGCUUCUGGAUUAGCUCAUUUUUGGUUUGGCCUUGAUUUGGAUUCGACCUCAUUGCUUAAUUUAGGAACAGUAGGCUUCAGAUGUUGUGCUUCAGUAGUAGCCAAUAGAGAUCUAUUUAGGGCCGUAUAAACACAUGGAUUUAGUGGUUCUGUUGCAUGACAAUUAGCCUUAACUUUUUUCAACUUCAACCUUCUCAAACAUUUUACCAUGUUUUCAACUGCAGUGCUCAGGUCUCACGGUCUUUGCUCUCUAUUGGAUUUCACUAAUUAAAAGGAUAAUGAAAAAUGAAGAUCAAAGCAACUUCUAACUAGGCAAAGAUUGAGCAAUAAGUCCUGCCUAUCUUCAAAGAAACAGUAUUUUCCAGUAAAUUAGUUUUUUAGUAGCCAUUAAGAAUUUAAGAUUGUUCAUCUUUGAGUUCAUUUCAAAUUCUGUCAUGGUUCACAAGGGAGAUUGAUAUUCGCUUCUUGUGUUUGCAUGUUCUUGUAUGACAAAAAAAACACAGUAAACUGGCCUGUUAUUAGCAUCAGGAACUAUGUUGAAACAAAGGAACCUGUUAUAGAUUAACCAAUGCCUCUUUCUAAUUUAUUAAUAAUGUCAACCUAAGCUGUUAUCAGUAUAUUUGCUGUGAGACCCAUUCUUAAGCCAUCUUCUUCUCUUUGAGUGCACAUACCUGUACUCUGAAAUUGAUAUUUUCUCAAGAGACAUGUAUGUUGGUAUCACAGUGGCUUUGUCUUACUUUCCUCGUCAGACUUUACAAUCUUGUAUUCACUUGCUAAAGAAAAUAUACCUAACAAGUCAAGAUUAGAUAGAUUUAGGCAGAGACAGAUGAUUUUUGUCUCCAUGAUCCCUCCAAUAAAGCAGCAUGAAUACACAACGGAAAAUUAUGUACAACUUCGUCGCCUUUCCCUUCAAAAUCUUACUUUUUGGUACCUGAACACUGGCUUGCUUUUGUGGACAUUUCCAUCAACUUCGUUCUGGUUUUUCUUUCGGUGCAACUCCUUAAUUGUUUAUCUGAUUAUAUAAUAAGUUUCUUCCUUUAGGAAUCUCAUCUACAGCAGUUACUAAAGUUUAUUUCAGUUUCCUUUUGAAACCGAUAAAUAUUUGGUUAAAACAGGAGCAGCAAAGACCUCAAGACUUGAUUGUGCUUGUACAUUGAACCAGGGAGCUGGCUUCGGAACUUGAGUUCUUGAUCAUUGGUUUGGCAUCCGGACUUCCUGGUUAUUUGUCUCUUUAUCCAACCGGAUAGUGUGCAUUUUCCAGGAUUUAUUGCCAAAAAGACAAAUGGAGCAUAUAGCGUUCUAGAUAAUUAAGUAGCUUGAAGACAUCAAUACAGGAUUAUUGUAUCCAUUAUCCUCUUUCUCAGCAAGCAGAUUUGUUUAGGUACAUUCGAGUCUGAGCUGCAGUUUCUCCCUUAUAGGAUUUCUCUGGGCUAUGAUGGCUUUUUCAUAUUAAAUUUUAAAUACGAAUGGCCUCUUUUUUCUCAUAAAUUAUAGUAGUAAUAUAUAACAGAAGUCAGAACGUAAGGUUCAAAAUUUGCCGCAACUCAGCCUUGUUCUUCAUUCAUAUAGCUUCCAUCAUGUGGAGCUAGAUCGUCUCAGUUUGGCACUGAAA